GAAGGUAAGAACAAAAGAAAGA
rnacentral:snRNA from 1 species